rnacentral:tRNA from 1 species
GGGGUUGUGGGACAACUUGGCUAGCCUAUCAGCUUAGGGAGCUGAAGAUCCGAGUUCAAAUCUCGGCAACCCCA